rnacentral:lncRNA from 1 species
UCGGCUUCUCCAUCCUAGUAGUUUAGGAUUUCUUGCAAUUCCAUUUUGGCACUUUUCUUCUGACCUAUUUCUCUGGCUGCUGCUUCCUGAUAAUCGACCAGUUCUCUAGUCUUGCUCCCUGCACUCCUCCCUCCUCCAUCUCCGGCACAGUGUUCUGACCAACCUGCUCCAAUGGGUGUCUUGUCUGCUGCUGACCCUCCCCCAGUCUCAGCAAUUGGGUUUGAGGGCUAUGAGAAGCGCCUUGAGAUCACUUUCUCUGAGGCACCUGUCUUUGCUGACCCUGAUGGUCGGGGUUUGCGCGCCCUCUCCAGGGCCCAGAUUGACUCUGUUCUGGAUCUUGCACGGUGCACCAUUGUGUCCGAGCUGUCCAACAAGGACUUUGACUCCUAUGUCCUCUCUGAGUCCAGCCUGUUUAUCUAUUCUGAUAAGAUUGUGAUUAAGACCUGUGGGACUACAAAGCUCCUGCUCACAAUUCCAAGGAUUCUUGAGCUUGCUGAAGGGCUUUCUAUGCCACUUGCUGCUGUGAAGUACUCCCGCGGGAUGUUCAUCUUCCCCAGUGCACAGCCUGCUCCCCACAGGAGCUUCUCUGAGGAAGUUGCUGUCCUCAACCGCUACUUUGGCCAUCUGAAAUCUGGUGGUAAUGCUUAUGUGAUUGGAGAUCCAGCAAAGCCUGGCCAGAAGUGGCAUAUCUACUAUGCUACUCAGCACCCGGAGCAACCUAUGGUUACCCUUGAAAUGUGCAUGACCGGACUGGACAAGGAGAAAGCUUCAGUCUUUUUCAAGACUUCUGCUGAUGGUCACACAUCAUGUGCUAAGGAAAUGACAAAACUCUCGGGCAUCUCUGACAUUAUCCCAGAGAUGGAGAUCUGUGACUUUGACUUCGAACCCUGCGGCUACUCCAUGAAUGCAAUCCAUGGCUCAGCGUUUUCUACCAUUCAUGUGACCCCUGAGGAUGGCUUCAGCUACGCCAGUUAUGAGGUCGUGGGCUUCGACGCCUCUACUCUUGCUUAUGGCGACCUGGUGAAGAGGGUCCUCAGGUGCUUUGGCCCUUCGGAGUUCUCUGUUGCUGUUACCAUCUUUGGUGGGCAUGGUCAUGCUGGAACAUGGGCAAAGGAGCUCAAUGCUGAUGCUUACAAAUGCAACAACAUGGUAGAGCAGGAGCUGCCCUGUGGUGGCCUCCUCAUCUACCAGAGCUUCGACGCUACUGAAGACGUACCUGUUGCUGUUGGGUCGCCCAAAUCUGUUCUGCACUGCUUCGAGGCUGAGAAUAUGGUGAACCCUGCUCCUGUUAAGGAAGGUAAACUGGGCAAUCUUCUCCCCUGGGGAGAGGAUGCGUUGGAGGAGAAUGAUGGAGUGUUUGAUGAGUAAGAUGGGACUU